GCUGGUACAUACAAACAAUGUUGCCGUAUACAAAUGAUGCUGCCAUGUCUGCAUUUCUUUUCUCAAAACUCGGCUCGCGAUGGCCGAUUGCUCCUCGUUAGUGGCGAAACGAAGGAUUACUGCCAGUUUCUGACUCGCUUGGUUUUUCUGACAGCCGUGCAACCAUAUGGUUGUCUCGUGUACGCUCACACACCCAAUUCGAUUACGCUAUGGGCGUGCGCACCGGAUUCUCUGGUGCAAGUGAGCCGAGUGGCAAUUCCUCCGAUGUGGACCACUACCCAAUUGCCGAAUCAAACAAUAUGUAUUUCUGCGUAUGUACUUUUUUUAUUGUUAUUAAAUGUAUUUAUGGAAAGCCCAUCUGGGUCCGUAUUCUGAGACGACCCACUUCGGCGAUACUAUCGCCUUGGCCAGGCCUCCAUCAAUGUCGCACGCUGAUUGGCUGUUUUAGCGAAACCAGAAAAUAAAUAGCGCCAUCCAGUAGUUCUGGUCUGUAUCAAUUUGACGUUACGGUGUUGGUGGGUGCUCCCAUAUAUAUUGAGUAAACGACUGCGUCUUUUCGUGGUCGGUUGCUGGUGUAGUGUAGAGUAUCUUUUGAUGGCAGUUUGCACGUAGUUUUGCACAGUGAUAUUUGUUGACUGUUGAUCGGCUAUUGCAUAGUGUUACCUUGUGUAAGUGACAAUUUUUGGUGUCGGUGUCUCGGAACAGCUGGCAGCGGCACCAUCAACAACACAUUGCUCGCAUGGUUAGUGGUAUCUGGUUGGUGGUGAAGCGUAGUAGAGACAAGUCAGACGAUGUCACUCCGGUGGUGCACGAUGGCUGACACACAGAAGCAGAAACAUUGUGUCACUUUAUAAUAUGCCAUCAAAAAUGUGUUUAGCAACUGCAUGAGUUGUAACAAAAUUUUUUUCAUUAAAAUUAACCAUUUCACGCUCCCUUUUUCAAUUUAUUUUACCUAAAGUGGUCGUGGCCAAGCGUACUUGGUGUGCAGAACCCAUACUGUGGCCAUCGCACUCCAAUGCAACACACCCGAGCCACUCUGUACUCACGCGGUGCGCUCUCUUGUGCGUUGUGAAGCAUUCGAGGGCGCCUGUUGGUAGUGCAUGCUGUCGUCACAGGUGGGAAAUGUGGUCCUCUGCUCCAAGAAGAGGGGUUGGUUUGGUAUGAGCAAAUGACGUACAGCAUACCUUUGUGAAAUUAAUAUUCCGACCAAUUCAAAUAAAUCUUAAGAUUUUUGGCUGG
rnacentral:lncRNA from 1 species